rnacentral:rRNA from 1 species
GGGGGAUUCGACUUCACUCCUAACCCCUGUGAACAUACCAAUUGUUGCCUCGGCGGAUCAGCCCGCUCCCGGUAAAACGGGACGGCCCGCCAGAGGACCCCUAAACUCUGUUUCUAUAUGUAACUUCUGAGUAAAACCAUAAAUAAAUCAAAACUUUCAACAACGGAUCUCUUGGUUCUGGCAUCGAUGAAGAACGCAGCAAAAUGCGAUAAGUAAUGUGAAUUGCAGAAUUCAGUGAAUCAUCGAAUCUUUGAACGCACAUUGCGCCCGCCAGUAUUCUGGCGGGCAUGCCUGUUCGAGCGUCAUUUCAACCCUCAAGCCCCCGGGUUUGGUGUUGGGGAUCGGCGAGCCCUUGCGGCAAGCCGGCCCCGAAAUCUAGUGGCGGUCUCGCUGCAGCUUCCAUUGCGUAGUAGUAAAACCCUCGCAACUGGUACGCGGCGCGGCCAAGCCGUUAAACCCCCAACUUCUGAAUGUUGACCUCGGAUCAGGUAGGAAUACCCGCUGAACUUAAGCAUAUCAAUAAGCGGAGGAA